CUCCCCAUCCCCUCUGGAAACACCGGGUGAAGAACGAGCCCUGCGUAGUUCUUUGUGGCCUUGGGCCUGGGACGGCUGCUUGCCAUUCAGGCCUAGACACAAAGCCCAUUAAACUCAUGUGAAGACCUGCCCAUCUGGACCAGGCCCAGCUGUUGUCCGAUCCAUGGUAGGAUAAAAAUGAAAGCCCUCUUAUUCUGCCAGAGCUGCACAGCCGGAUGUUCUCUACUGAGCUCAAUCAUUUUUUUCACGACUUUUCACAUCCCCAACCUGGGAUCAGACACAGUGGAAUAAAGCUAACCCAAGUUCUGAGCUGUAACAGUAACAACAACAACAAUAAUAAUAAUUUGUAGGGCUGUGUGAGGCUUUGGGCCAUGCUUUGGAUCCAGAGAAGCUUUGCAUGCUUUGGC